CAGGAUAAACGCUGGCGGCGCACAUAAGACAUGCAAGUCGAACGGAAGUCGUUAAAAAUGAAUUGAAGAUUUAUCGGAUUGAAGUUUUAACAAUGGCUUUAGUGGCGGACUGGUGAGUAACACGUAAGCAACCUGCCUAUUAGAGGGGGAAUAACAGUGAGAAAUCAUUGCUAAUACCGCAUAAGCUGAUAGUAUCGCAUGAUACAGUCAGAAAAGGAGCAAUCCGCUAAUAGAUGGGCUUGCGGCUGAUUAGCUAGUUGGUGGGGUAACGGCCUACCAAGGCGACGAUCAGUAGCCGAGUUGAGAGACUCUACGGCCACAUUGGGACUGAGAUACGGCCCAGACUCCUACGGGAGGCAGCAGUCGGGAAUAUUGCGCAAUGGAGGAAACUCUGAACCGCAGUGACGCCGCGUAUAGGAUGAAGGUUUUCGGAUUGUAAACUAUUGUCGUUAGGGAAGAAAUUUGACAGUACCUAAGGAGGAAGCUCCGGCUAACUAUGUGCCAGCAGCCGC
rnacentral:rRNA from 1 species